rnacentral:ncRNA from 2 species
GUACUAUGACCUUUCGGCGGUCCCACCCGGUCCGCCACCGCCAGACGGCGACUUGGGAGGAAGCCCGGUGCGAAUCCGGCGCGGUCCCGCCACUGUGAGCACGCGCACCCGCCGCGUGUGAGUCAGGAACUCCCGCCGUCCGAACACCGCC